CUAAAGCAAGAUGACAAAUAUGUGUUAAGAGAUGGAGUUCCCAUCUAAGUACAAAAAGACGCAUCAAUGUACUCAACACAAUACAAAAGACUUGACAUCUUAUUCGCUAUGAAAAGUUGUAAAGCUAUGUGUAGCUAUGCGCCCACGCAACGCCAAUAUAAUGGCAGUAACUCCUUUUUCAAUACUUAAUGGUAUGAAAGGUUGAGGCUUAUUCUAUCCCUACAUAAGAAAGACACAUCAAAAGUGAAAUCAGAAUCUACCAAGUUUUGUAGGUCAACUUCCACGGGACCUAUAAGGAAAUCUCACUCACUAAGAAAAUGGUGAAAUUGGUACCAUUGGAAAGGUCUAUGUGUCUACUUUCCAGAGACACCAACCAUUUGAUCAUACCUAUCAUAUUGAGUGAGUUAUGGCCGUUUUCGUAAAGUAGGACGAAUCUGUCCGAGAAUCUGAUUUUGGCAAAACAGUCAACUUCGACGGGAUUUUGUGAACAGCUCCUGAUGAACCAGAAUGUGUGUAAUAUACGGUUGGAAAGCUAAAUGAGUCUAGUUUCCCAAACCGUUUACGGUUCGUUCAUAUGUAUUUCCUAGAGGAAGUUACGACUGUUCUAGUAAUUGAAGGUCAUGCUGCGCGGAAAUCUAAUUUCCUGCACGAACUUAUGUUUUGAGUUCACAAGUGACCUUCUCCUCAAGAUCUAAGUGUAAAAGAUCAUUUGAGGACAAUACGGCAUGAUUUAGUUAAUCAUUGUCCAAUGCCACAUUUGAAGACAUGUUAAAAAGCAUUGACAUGCUAAGUUGUUGAAACUUCCGUGAUUAGUACGAAUUAGGAAGAGCCCUAUGAUUGAUGUAAAGAUCAGGGGGAGGUGCGAACUUCAGGGGGAGUCUAGCACAUACAUACAUGUCACUAUCAAAUGUGAAGGGUGCGUUGUACUCUUUUUCUCCUACGAUCAAGGUUCACUUUUUCUCCCACAGGGUUUUUGUGACUUGACGAGGUUUUUGACGAGGCAACAGAUCAGCACCAUCGGCAUAUCAGCGCGCGGCACAAGGGGGAGUGUUCUAGGAUAUUCUCUAUGUGUGCCUUGGCCUUAUGCCAAUAGGAUAUGUAGUUAGACUAGAUCUAUGUAUUCAUAUCCUUACCAUAUUGGUAUUGUGUAAUUUCCUAUAUAAAGGGCUCCUAUCAAUGAAUAAGAUGAUGACUCUCUUGCUAUCUCUUUGUCUCUACACUUUAUUCUUCAUCACUUUUAGAACUUUUUCCUAAUAGAAUAUUCAUAUUAAAAUAAAAUUAGUCAUUGUUCACAUUGAAAUUCAAAGUCGUAAACAUGUCACAUAGUAACAAAUAAGUUACAAGUACCAAUAAUAAUCUAGUAAUGUUCACUUGGAACUUUUCCCAAAUAGCAUGUUCACAUUGAACUUCACAUUGAAAUAAAAGACAUUAUUUACAUUAAAAUUUGAAGUCGUUGUUCACAUUGAAAUUUAAAGUCCUAAACAUGUCUUAUAAUAACAAAUAAGUUAUAAGUAACAG
rnacentral:lncRNA from 1 species